ACGCGAAACAUCCCCGGCCAGCGCCGGGGGUGUCGUCGGGGCGUGGUUGCCCCGGCCUGAUGAGCAGCCACAG
rnacentral:hammerhead_ribozyme from 2 species